rnacentral:rRNA from 1 species
UACGUAGGUGGCAAGCGUUGUCCGGAUUUACUGGGCGUAAAGAGCGCGCAGGCGGUCGUUCAAGUCGCGUGUGAAAGCCCCCGGCUCAACUGGGGAGGGUCACGCGAUACUGAUCGACUCGAAGGCAGGAGAGGGUAGUGGAAUUCCCGGUGUAGUGGUGAAAUGCGUAGAUAUCGGGAGGAACACCCGUGGCGAAGGCGGCUUUCUGGGACGGUACUGACGCUGAGACGCGAAAGCGUGGGGAGCGAACAGG